AGGGCACCACCAGGAGUGGAGCCUGCGGCUUAAUUUGACUCAACACGGGAAAUCUCACCAGGCCCGGACACUGGAAGGAUUGACAGAUUGAGAGCUCUUUCUCGAUUCGGUGGGUGGUGGUGCAUGGCCGUUCUUAGUUGGUGGAGUGAUUUGUCUGGUUAAUUCCGAUAACGAACGAGACUCUGUCCUGCUAAAUAGUUCCCGCGUCCUUUGUUGCGCGGGAAAUUCUUCUUAGAGGGACUGGCGGCGUCUAGCCGCACGAGAUUGAGCAAUAACAGAUCUGUGAUGCCCUUAGAUGUUCUGGGCCGCACGCGCGCUACACUGAAGGGAUCAGCGUGUCUUCCCUUCCCGAGAGGGACGGGUAACCCGCUGAACCCCCUUCGUGGUAGGGAUCGGGGCUUGCAAUUAUUCCCCGUGAACCAGGAAUUCCCAGUAAGCGCAAGUCAUAAGCUUGCGUUGAUUACGUCCCUGCCCUUUGUACACACCGCCCGUCGCUACUACCGAUUGAACGUUUUAGUG
rnacentral:rRNA from 1 species